rnacentral:tRNA from 1 species
GCCUGGGUGGCUCAGUGGUUGAGCAUCUGCCUUUAGCUCAGGCCAUGAUCCCAGGGUCCUGGGAUCGAGUCCCACAUCGGGCU